AGGACUAACGCUGGCGGCGUGCCUAACACAUGCAAGUCGAACGAGGUAGCAAUACCUAGUGGCAGACGGGUGAGUAACGCGUGGUCAACCUACCGUUGAGUGGGGGAUAACUAGCCGAAAGGUUAGCUAAUACCGCAUACGUCUCCGAGGGGCAUCCCUUGGCGAUAAAAGGAGCAAUCCGCUCGAUGACGGGACCGCGUCCCAUUAGCUAGAUGGUGGGGUAACGGCCUACCAUGGCACCGAUGGGUAGCUGGUUUGAGAGAGCGACCAGCCACACUGGGACUGAGAAACGGCCCAGACUCCUACGGGAGGCAGCAGUGAGGAAUUUUCCGCAAUGGGCGCAAGCCUGACGGAGCGACGCCGCGUGUGGGAAGAAGGCCUUCGGGUCGUAAACCACUGUCGAAGGGGACGAUAAUGACGGUACCCUUGGAGGAAGCCCCGGCUAACUACGCGCCAGCAGCCGC
rnacentral:rRNA from 1 species